AGGAGCUGCAGAACACCUUCCCGGUGGUGAUGCUUAGUUGACAGGACAAGUGAGACCCAAACAGCAGACAGAAUGGUCCCAGCAUGCUGGCUGCCUUUUUGUGUUUGAACAGUGGCCGUCAGUCCCAGCCUUGCAGGAUAAUUAAAAGAGAAACCUGUAAAAGCAACAUUCCCGUGAGCGAGUUGGUGCUGCAACGUGCUGGUCUACGCUGCUGCAGAAAGGAGUGAGCCAGACACUGAGGUAAGAUCACUGUCUUCCUCACACCAGAGGAGUGGUGUGC